rnacentral:rRNA from 1 species
UACGGAGGGGGUUAGCGUUGUUCGGAAUUAUUGGGCGUAAAGCGCGCGUAGGCGGUUACUCAAGUCGGAUGUGAAAGCCCUCGGCUUAACUGAGGAAGUGCACCCGAAACUGAGUAGCUAGAGUACCAAAGAGGGUCGCGGAAUUCCCGGUGUAGAGGUGAAAUUCGUAGAUAUUCGGAAGAACACCAGUGGCGAAGGCGGCUCACUGGCCCGUUACCGACGCUCAGGCGCGACAGCGUGGGGAGCAAACAGG